rnacentral:lncRNA from 1 species
AAAUUAAGUUAGAAUGUACUAUAGAUGUGAUGAGCUACUGGAAAUCUACUAUAAGCAUAUUUAUUUUCUUUAUCCAAGGUGAAUAUCUUGGUUAUUUCAAGAUAAGUUCUGUAUUUGAUGUACUGUGGUAUUUCCAAGGAAGAAAUGCUUUGUCAACGAUCUUCAAAAAAGAGGAAGAGGUAUGCAGCCAACAAGAAGGUGAAAGCAGCCAUGAAAACAAUCGUGUUUCAUUGACAAAUGGAUAGCAUAGUACUACUGGUUCAUUUCUAAUAAGGUAAGGUAAUCAUUUUUUAAAUGGUUUAAACUUACUACCCUGCUGCAACCUAUCACUGUUUCAUGCCAGCCACUUCUAAGAAAUAGACCUGAACAUCAUUCACCACACUCUAUCCAAACAAUGAGCCUGAAUCCAAUUUAUUAGAACAGAAUGAAUAUAGCCUUUAACUUCUCUACAGAGAUACUAUUGUUAAUUAAAUCAAAGGCCCUUCCAUACACAGUGCUAACAGUUCUAGCCCUGCAUCCAUUCUCCAAACAGUGUAUGACAUUGAUGGAUAAACUCAAUUAAAG